rnacentral:rRNA from 1 species
GAUGAACGCUGGCGGCGUGCUUAACACAUGCAAGUCGGACGGUAAGGCCUUCGGGUACACGAGUGGCGAACGGGUGAGUAACACGUGGGUGAUCUGCCCCCUACUCUGGGAUAAGCCUGGGAAACUGGGUCUAAUACCGGAUAUGACCUCCUUCUGCAUGGUUGGUGGUGGAAAGUUUUUUCGGUAGGGGAUGAGCCCGCGGCCUAUCAGCUUGUUGGUGGGGUAAUGGCCUACCAAGGCGACGACGGGUAGCCGGCCUGAGAGGGCGACCGGCCACACUGGGACUGCGACACGGCCCAGACUCCUACGGGAGGCAGCAGUGGGGAAUAUUGCACAAUGGGCGCAAGCCUGAUGCAGCAACGCCGCGUGAGGGACGACGGCCUUCGGGUUGUAAACCUCUUUUAGCAGGGAAGAAGCGAAAGUGACGGUACCUGCAGAAAAAGCACCGGCUAACUACGUGCCAGCAGCCGCCGUAAAAC